rnacentral:tRNA from 1 species
CAUUAAAUGACUGAAUGUAAGUAUUGAUUUUUUAAAUCAAUUUAUAAUAGAAUUAACCACCUAUUUUUAAUGG